GGCGCACAUGGCUGUGUAUUGCUGGGCGAGCCGGCCUAUUACGGUCGCUUCGGCUUCUGUGCCGAGCCGGGCCUGGUGCUGCCGGGUGUGCGCCGCC
rnacentral:tRNA from 1 species